AUUGAACGCUGGCGGCAUGCUUUACACAUGCAAGUCGAACGGUAACAGGGUGCUUGCACCGCUGACGAGUGGCGAACGGGUGAGUAAUGCGUCGGAACGUGCCGAGUAGUGGGGGAUAACGCAGCGAAAGUUGUGCUAAUACCGCAUACGUACUGAGGUAGAAAGUGGGGGACCUUCGGGCCUCACGCUAUUCGAGCGGCCGACGUCUGAUUAGCUAGUAGGUGAGGUAAAGGCUCACCUAGGCGACGAUCAGUAGCGGGUCUGAGAGGAUGAUCCGCCACACUGGGACUGAGACACGGCCCAGACUCCUACGGGAGGCAGCAGUGGGGAAUUUUGGACAAUGGCGAAAGCCUGAUCCAGCCAUGCCGCGUGUCUGAAGAAGGCCUUCGGGCUGUAAAGGACUUUUGUCAGGGAGGAAAUCCCUAGUGCUAAUAACACUGGGGGAUGACAGUACCUGAAGAAUAAGCACCGGCUAACUACGUGCCAGCCGCCGCGGUAAAAC
rnacentral:rRNA from 1 species